AGGAAACCAACCACUAAAGCAACAUGCAUCCCUUCCAGGACGCUACCUAACAGAGGUACUUCUUGUGGCAGGCCACAUUGAGGAAGGGGUAAAGGCAUUAGAGGUGGAAGAGGAAAAGGACGAGGUGGUAGAAAGAAGGGCACUUACAUCCAAAGUAGCAGUACUGAGAGUAGUGAAAGUGAGAAUGAUAAGAUCAAUAUAAGCAGUCAUGACAGUGACCAGAGUCCUGUUAUAAACAAAGUUGAUAGACAAAAGGAUAGGAAAGCAAAAGAUUAAGAGAAGGUAGAGAAAGAAAAAGAUCAAGAGAAGGUAGAGCAAGAAAACGAUCAUGAGGAGGAAGAGAAAGAGAAGGUAAAGAAAGAAAAAGAUCAAGAGAAGGAAGAGAAAGAAAAAGACCAAGAGGACGUAGAAAAAGAUGUUACUCAAGAGAAAGAAGAAACACAUUACGAAGAAGUUCUGCAAGACGACAGCUUUUUGUAUGCUGCUACUCUAACAGAAGAAUUGGGAUAUCCCAUUGUCCAGGAUCUUUUGCAGCUGCAGAUGAAUACUGAGGAAGGGAUUUUGGAAUUUGAGGCUACUGAC